rnacentral:lncRNA from 1 species
ACUUGUGCCUUUAUCUUCUUGUGUGGUUAUAGUUGCUCACAGAGCUUGACUUAUUCUUCAUUUAGUUGGCUUAACUCUAUGUGGGGUUAAGGCCUUUUCUUCCUCACAGAAUCCGUCCCAAGCCUGGAGAAAGGAGCAUUGAACCUUGUGCUGGGGGAUUUUUCCAUAUUGCCCUGCGAUUUAGUAGAAGACACGAGCCCUAAGUAUGAGCCUGCUGGAUUUUAGCAGAAUGGUGGGAAAAAAAAACUUUUUGCAGCUAAUCCCAAAAGGAUUUGUUUAGAAGUUAGAACAGACAUCAUCAAUGAAAUGAUGGUGAUGCUUUUCCAGACAAGAGAUUUAUUUUCUGCAGAACAUCCAUGCUGGAAUAGUUUAGAAGGAAUGUAACUCCAGCAUGCAGAUUGGUAGGUACUGAAAAUUAUAUUUUUGCUGCUCUAGCAAAAUUUCAUUGCCUCCUGCUAUCCGGACAUUCAAUCAACAGCUAGCGUUAGGUUUAGGGAGAGUUCACUGCUAUGUUCAUUGAGGUAUCACUCUGAAUAAUGCUACUUUUUCUGAAUGUCUCUCCAGUUGAAGGGGAAAAAAUUUUCUUUUGUAAAGAUCAGCGAGAAAUAAAAAAGGAUAGGUCCCCUCUCUGUUCAUUCCUUGGGUAUCUAUAGUUUAUUUUGAAAUAGGUGUUAUGUGUGAUUAAUGAUUGAUUUUCGGCCUUUCAUGUCAUACUGCUCAUAAUAACAUGUCGUACGCUAUUUUUGGAUAUACACUUUUGACUUUUAUGGUAUCUUUUUAAGUGGUUCUUGUGAUCUAACUUAUCCUUUGCUAGUUUUAAGUUUCUUUAUCAACGUAGAUUAAAGUUCGACUUGUCUUUCUACAUUCUAACUUAUUGCAUUUUAUCUUUGGGUUAUCUUUGUUAGGUAGUACUUGUCACAAUAUACCAUUAUUGGUUUACUUUUUUCAAGUAGUAUUGGUACCUCUUCCUUCUCCUCAUUUUAGUUGGUACCUAAAUUUCAAAAUGUUAUGUGAUUCUUCUAAACUACUUUGUUUUGGCUUAUCUCUAAAGAUAGGUUGAAUUAUGUUUAUUUUCAUAAUUUGAUGGAUUUAUCCGUCAUAGUAGAUGAGUUGCACAAAUUAGAGAUAAAUUUAGAGUUUGUUUGAAGGGAUGAUUGUCUCGUAACUUCAAUACUAGGUAAAAAAUCCUUACUCAUGGCAACAACCUUUGCCAUUAUAACCUUCCCCUUCUCCAUGCCCAUAUUGGAAAGUGAAGGCAACCUAAUUAGGGACUUUUCUAGGUAGGGAUGGUCACCUGCAAUGGUAACCUUAACUUGAUUAGUUGUCGAUCCAGGGGUCUCAAACUUUCCAAAGCCCUUUUUUAGAACCGCAAAACCUUCAAUGAGAUUAAUCAGGGACAAGGAUAACAUCCACUUACUUUUAAAUAUACCCCAGAAGAAGAUAUAGUCACCUUACUACUUAAGUGGAUCUUACUAUGAAUACACUAAAAAAUGAGGGACUUGAUCGAUGAAACCAUCUGUACCUGAACCAAUAUUCUAAGAUUUCCUAUUCAAAGAGACUAGCUUGUAGGGAAAUUGCUCGCAUUUCCUCUUCUAGUGAUUAGCUGCUCAUAGCAAAGGGGGCAAUGAGAACUUAUCCAAAGGUGGUCACCCUUCAAACUUGAUAAAAGAAAGGCAAGGAGUUGACAAUAUCAAGCCUAGAGAAAUGAACGUGGCAUACAGCUAUGAGGGCUUCAACAGGAUCUUUUGGUUACAAAGAAUACUGUCAAUCUUAAACUAGUAUGAGAUUUUCUCUCAAUAAGAGUCUUCAAUCUCAAGAACGUCAAUGUCCAGGAAAAGGAAAAGAACCUUGUGCUUCGUGAAGCCUAGGAAUGCUCAAAAGACCUUAAAGCUUGACACUUGCCUAACAUGAUGACAAUGCCAUGGUAGAGAUCCUUAUUAGUCAAAGGUGCAUUGGUAAUAAAACCGCCCAUACCCAAGCAAGAUGACUAAGUACCACUCAUGAAGAAUACUCAAUGCGUAACAAAUUAGAAAUUUUAAUCCUUUUCCAUUUCUUUGUCAUCGCAAAAGAAGAAAUUAAAGGUAUAAGAGGAGGUAGAAAAAAUAAUUGGAGGAAAUAAAUAAAAGAUAAAAAAAUUCAUCAGUCCUCUACAGAAAGACAUUAAGGCAAAAUCUAGGAGAGAAAAAAGCAUAAUUAAACCAAAUUAAAAAGACGUGUUUUCUAUUGGGAGGAAGUUGAUUACCGCCAUGUGGCACAGUCUGACCCUUAGGACAUGAGAAACAUUGUCACAAUUGUCUUAGAAGUAAAAAAUUGCAAUCAGUGAACUACCGUCGGUCAAUGCAAAAACCACUCACAAGGCCAUUAUGGGCCCGUAACCCGAAUCAGAAAAAUAAGCUCUAGACUCUUGAAAGAGAUCAUGGCUAAGGGGUACUGAAGAUGCCAAAAUUCACCGCACUUGUAAGUAAGGUCCCCCCAAGAAAAGACCUGUAGAGCUAACCUCGUUUCCUGCCUAAUGCUCAAAAGAAAUCUCCGAUGGCUUUUGGUAGUUUGCGAGAGAAGAUUGAAAAAGAUAUAAAAAAAGAAGAAGAAAAUGUUGCUUCUUUCAUGGGAGAAUGGCCAUAGAAGGCCCAUGACAGAAAAAAAGGGUAAGACUCUCCUUCACCAACAGACUGGGGGAGUUUGGUCGGAGAAAGUGUCAUUUCCCUAUUAUCACCUUUUUAGCUGGAGGAUAAUCAUUUAUUAAGGGUGAGUUUCCUUCACUUAUUGCUAAACAAUGAUUUCUGUCUAAUGAUUGCUGAAAGGUAGUUGGCAGGUCCAAUCUUCGUAUUCAUCCAUGAAAUACCAUACACUACUGAAUCAAGGUUUCCCAUGCAAUUCCAGUCCUAAAUCUGAAACUCAUUAAUGAUCAGCGGACUCUCACCGUAAGUCAACUCCAAGUCUCCGCGUCAAUCCAAAGCCAAUACCAACCAGCCAGAACUUGGAAAAAUUAUUCUGCUGCUAUAUAUCACCAUGCUUCUACAGAUAUUCGCUAGCUGAUUAUCUUCCUUGACCUUCACUCUUAUUUUUCAUUUUUUUUUUUUUUUUUUGUUGCAGGCCAUUGAUGGUGGAAGCGAUCAAAGUACGUGGCAAAUAGUGUAUAUAUAAAAGCUACCAUUGGAAGAUAGGCUUGCUUGACAGCUAGAUGCACCUGCACCUUUGUUUGGGCUCUACGUGGACCGGCACAUGGAGGGAGCUAAGCAUUCUGGUUGGUGGACCUCUCCACUAUGGAUCAGCAAGAGACUGACAGAUAGGAAAAAAAAUGUUGGGAAGUGGAUUAAAUUCCUUACUAGUAAAGAUUUUUUUU